CCGUUCAGGGGUAAACCUGAGAAACCCGAAAGAUCGAAUGGGGAGAUUCAUCGUCAGCGAGGCUGGCCUCUCCGCGGUUCGUGAUGUUUUGCGCGGCUGGCUCGUCCGGUCGCGCGGCACUCGACCGAUGCGUUAGGUCCGGCUGCGUCGACGUGCACUUCUCCCCUAGUAGGACGUCGCGACCCGUCGGGGUGUCGGUCUACGGCCCGAGUUGGUGCCUGUCCUCGGGGC
rnacentral:rRNA from 1 species